rnacentral:rRNA from 1 species
UACGUAGGGGGCAAGCGUUGUCCGGAAUUAUUGGGCGUAAAGAGCGCGUAGGCGGUCCGAUAAGUCGGCUGUGAAAGUCAGGGGCUCAACCCUUGAAAGCCGGCCGAUACUGUCGGACUAGAGUCCGGAAGAGGCAAGUGGAAUUCCCGGUGUAGCGGUGAAAUGCGCAGAUAUCGGGAGGAACACCAGUGGCGAAGGCGGGUCUCUGGGCCGUUACUGACGCUGAGGAGCGAAAGCGUGGGGAGCGAACAGG